rnacentral:tRNA from 1 species
GCCCCAGUAGCUCAGUUGGAUAGAGCAGAGGUUUCCUAAACCUCGUGUCGGAGGUUCGAAUCCUCCUUGGGGCA